UUCAUCUUACUUCUGUUUACCAUUGUUUGACCUCGAUCUUCUCUAUCUUUGGUCAAUACUUGUUGAUUAUUUCUUUCCAUUUCCAUUAAUGCACUUUAAUAUUCUUCUUCUUCUUCUUCUUCUUCUUCUUCUUCUUCUUCUCCUUUUUUUUCUUUUUUGGUCAAUGAUGGUUAGCAUUGAUACAUGGAGGUUUAACCUUCCUUGAUUCAAAUCUAAUUCAUCUUGAUCAUGGAUCAAGUGAAUGGCUUUGUAUUAAGGAUGUGUUGCUUCCU
rnacentral:lncRNA from 1 species